rnacentral:rRNA from 1 species
GGAUGCUGACGAGCGGCGGACGGGUGAGUAAUGCUAGGGAAUCUGCCCGAUAGUGGGGGAUAACCUGGGGAAACCCAGGCUAAUACCGCAUACGUCCUACGGGAGAAAGGGGGCUUCGGCUCCCGCUAUCGGAUGAGCCUAUGUCGGAUUAGCUAGUUGGUGAGGUAAAGGCUCACCAAGGCAACGAUCCGUAGCUGGUCUGAGAGGAUGAUCAGCCACAUCGGGACUGAGACACGGCCCGAACUCCUACGGGAGGCAGCAGUGGGGAAUAUUGGACAAUGGGGGCAACCCUGAUCCAGCCAUGCCGCGUGUGUGAAGAA